CAGCCAUUAGAAUGACAAGCGAGCAAAGUCCAUGUUUUCCCCCUCCUUCCUUUCUCUUCUUCCCUUCAAACCCUCUAUCGUGAAAGGUCAGCUGAUAAAGCCUGCUUUUCUGAUGACUGCUAUGGAAUCCUAUUGGUUAAAAGACUGUGAGAAGCCAGCCCACCCACCCCAGCCCCCGUCAAACCAACUGUAAGUGUGUGUGGCUCUUGAGUCUGGAUGACAAAAACAUGUGGUUAAUUCUUCUUGUUGUGUAUUUCCUGCCGCUGACAUUUGUCACUGUCGCUGUGUAACGAGGUUGAGGCUGUGUAGGCGAACCCAACGCAAGUGACCUAUAUAUGUACCCCUCGCUGUCCCCACUCCUCUCAGCCACCGAUCUUGGAAUACCGGGGAGGAGAAUGAGGUGGCCAGGAACAUCAUCUAGAAUUGGCACGUCCUUCUAGCAACUCUUUCAGACUUCUAUUGUCUAAAUUGAUACGGCAUCUGAAGAAUAUGAAGAUUCAGCUUAAUAAAAUGGUGUGCGUUGUUUUGAAGAUUGUAAAUCAUAAACAAUUGUUAUUUGGUUUUGAUAAAGAGCCUGUGGUUUAAGUCAAGGUCACUCACUGUUGAACCUUACUGGAACCCUCCUCAGCAGCUUCCUGUGAGGAUGUCCGCGACAGUCUGCCGGUUCUACCCAAUCGGGUUUAAGCAAUAGACAAGAUCAUUUACAACAGCAUGUACCCACGAGAUUCCUGCCGAUGUGUGCUUUGUACUGAACUUUGAGAUUCUGGGAUGUCAGCAGGACAUGGAGGACACGACCUUCACGCAUCAGCAUCUUCUCCUGGAGCACAAGAGGACACGUGCCCUGGCACAAACAAGAAUGAUGACACAGAACUGGUCUACAGAUUCAAGAAACCAACUAUUGUGGCUUUAACUGACCAUGUCUACACACACAUAGAACCCAUGUCUGUUUCCAGUGGACAGGAGUGGCAUUUAGUUUCCAUGCCCACAUAUAGCUAAACAAAGAGCUACUCUCUCGCGUAUCUACGAUGGAUUCCUUUGGUCGGUUCAAAGCAGGGGUAAAAAGUGUCAAGAACUUCAAUGCUGUAAGAGAGCCAGUGAGAAGCUAGCUGAUUUGCCCUGGGCUAAGCUAAAUAGGACAUGGAACCAAUUUCAUUAUGGACCAGGAUGCUACUAACUUGAGUUCUGUAGACCACCUCCUAGAUUCCAUAAACCAGACUGAAGGCCAGCCCUGGCACGAGGCCCCUGAUGUGACAAGGCAGUCGAGUUACAGAGUUCAGUACUCUCAGAUGCUCCAGGAGGGGAGGCUUCCUUCAUGGUUCACGUCAGGACAAUGCAAACUGAGCUAUGCAUUUACUGUAAUUCCAAUCAGAUGAUUCUAUAAUUGGAAGGACACCAGUGGCGUUCUGUCUUCAGAGUCUUCUCCAUUAAGUGACUGAACAAGGGCCAGGGGACCUUUGCUUGUCCCAAAUGCAGAUCCUGAUACAGACUCGGGGAUGUGCAUGUCAUUAUGUUCUGCUCUAUUAUAGGAUCACGUUCCUUCAUCUCUCUGGGUAAGAUUGUGAAAUGUGAGCAGCAGUCAUUUCCCACAUAUUCUCAACAAAUUCUUACUAACUGUGGACCCAGCUAUGGAAAACAAAGGAAUAAAGUCAGUCUCUCUCUCUCUCUCUCUCUCUCUCUCUCU